rnacentral:rRNA from 1 species
CUCUUCUCGUUAGUUUUUGAAGUAUGGCCUGCCCACUGACCUUGAAUGUUGAAGGGCCGCGGUAUUUUGACCGUGCAAAGGUAGCAUAGUCAUUAGUUCUUUAAUUGUGAUCUGGUAUGAAUGGCUUGACGAGGCAUAAGCUGUCUUAAUUUUGAAUUGUUUAUUGAAUUUGGUCUUUGAGUUAAAAUUCUUAGAUGUUUUUAUGGGACGAGAAGACCCUAUAGAGUUUGACAUUUAUUAUGGUCUCUUUCUGUUUGUGAGGGUUCACUAGGGCUGUUUAAUAUGUUUUGUUGGGGUGAUGGGAGGGAUAUUAUUUAACCCCUCCUUUGUGUUGUUAUAUUUAUUUAUAUUUGCUUGAUCCAUUUAUUUUGAUUGUAAGAUUAAAUUACCUUAGGGAUAACAGCGUUAUCUCCCUUGAGAGUUCUUAUCGGCAGGGGGGUUUGCGACCUCGAUGUUGGAUUAAGGUUUAUUUUCGGUGUAGGGGCUGGAAAGUUAUAUUGGGUCUGUUCGACCUUUAAA